GGGGCAGUCGUCUAACGAACAGGAUUCGUCGGCUACGAACCGACAGAUAGAGGUUUGAAUCCUCUCUGCCCCACCA
rnacentral:tRNA from 1 species